rnacentral:rRNA from 1 species
GACGAACGCUGGCGGCGUGCUUAACACAUGCAAGUCGAACGGAAAGGCCCUGCUUUUGUGGGGUGCUCGAGUGGCGAACGGGUGAGUAACACGUGAGUAACCUGCCCUUGACUUUGGGAUAACUUCAGGAAACUGGGGCUAAUACCGGAUAGGAGCUCCUGCUGCAUGGUGGGGGUUGGAAAGUUUCUGCGGUUGGGGAUGGACUCGCGGCUUAUCAGCUUGUUGGUGGGGUAGUGGCUUACCAAGGCUUUGACGGGUAGCCGGCCUCAGAGGGUGACCGGUCACCUUGGGACUGACAUCCGGCCCAGACUCCUACGGGGGGGAGCUGUGGGGAAUCUUGCACUAUGGGCGGAAGCACGAUGGAGCAACGCCGCGUGCCGGAUGCCGGCCUUCGGGUUGUAAACCGCUUUCGCCUGUGACGAAGCGUGAGUGACGGUAAUGGGUAAAGAAGCACCGGCUAACUACGUG